CCUACGGGAGGCAGCAGUGAGGAAUAUUGGUCAAUGGGCGCGAGCCUGAACCAGCCAAGUCGCGUGAGGGAUGACGGUCCUACGGAUUGUAAACCUCUUUUGCCGGGGAGCAAGCGUGCGUUCGUGAACCCACGUCGAGAGUACCCGGAGAAAAAGCAUCGGCGAACGCCGUGCCAGCAGCCGCGGUAAUACGGAGGAUGCGGGCGUUAUCCGGAUUUUUUGGGUUUAAAGGGUGCGUAGGCGGGAUGUCAGUUCAGCGGUAAAAGUGCGGUGCUCAACGCCGUCGAGCCGUUGAAACUGGCGGUCUUGAGAUGGCGAGAGGUAUGCGGAAUGCGUAGUGUAGCGGUGAAAUGCAUAGAUAUCGCGCAGAACUCCGAUUGCGAAGGCAGCAUACCGGCGCCCUACUGACGCUGAGGCACGAAAGCGUGGGUAUCGAACAGGAUUAGAUACCCGAGUAGUC
rnacentral:rRNA from 1 species